GAAGAAGGGGACACAAAGGAUGAAACGGGAACGCCGCGUGUCCAACCGAACGGAAAGUGGAGAAAAAUUGCGGGCAAAUUACUUUGAGUAUAUGUUACAAAUGGUGCGGUAAUAGGUCGGAUUUUUAUGUAAGAAGCUCAUUUGGCAAAUCGAGUAACCUCGUAAAAAGUGGAGAAAAUUGAUGAAAUUAUAUAAGAUAAGCGUGGAAGCUUUGCGAUUGAUAAGCAAUUAAGAAGAGUAAUUAUUAUGCGAAUUUUAAUAUAUAGGAAUUGCUAUUAAAGGGAACCAUGAAGCCUGCUUGGGAACCAGAGAGUAAUUUACGACUGAAAUAUCCAAGGUUAAUAACGUCUGUCAAUAUCGAUAAACGGGUAAAAAUGGAUUUAGCCGUAUUUUCUUCUUUAUUUUAUAAAAACGUUUAAAUGUUUAUGUAUGUAUAUGUAAUCUUGAUAAUACAAACUCUACAUUGUAUCAUGAAAGAAGCUGUCGUAAAAUAAACGAUCACCCUGAACAAUUUA